UUUUUUCUUUUUUUUCCCUUCCCCUUAGGAAACACCUUCCAAAGUAUUUACCAAUUUCUGGGUUUUUUGGGGGAUGAGGGUUGUUGUGUGGUGGUGUUCUUUGUUCUUGUGGUUUGGUUUUAGUGUUACGGGUUUUUUGGUUUAAGUAAAUGGAUCACAUUAUGAUCCUAUCGAAUAAUUAUAAUUGAUUUCUUCUUUUUUUUUUUUUUUAACAAGAAAAAGCACCCAGCAGUUGUUGAUCCUCUAGAACUCUUGCUUCUAAACUUGGGACCUCCACAAUAUUUUGGACUUUGGCCACUGCUGGGAUGCGUUCCCACAGCACAUCAUGCCUCACCCCUCUGGGGUAAACACAGACAAAUGUCAUAGUGCUGUGACAUGAUUGGGGGCACCUGGGGAAUAUUGACCAGUGGUCGGGAAUGCUGCUGUCAGUCCCCUCUUAAAAAGCUCAAUAGGUGUAUAAAUAACCCUGGUGGAAUACUUGUGUGUAAUAGAAUUUACCAGGAGAUCCCUGUCCAUGUCCAAACAUCUGUGUACAGAUGCGGUGCUUCAGAAGGUGCGUUUUGGAAGCAAACACGUGCCAGAGGUGCUGUGACAGCUGCUCUCUUAAUAAUUAACAACCCUGAGGAGGUGCAGCACCAGUUAUUGCUGCAGUUAUUGGGAUCGAUCUGCUGGGAUCCACUCAGACUCAUUGAGUGAGAUUUUUGCUUUCUGGACUUUUUGGGUAAUUUAUAGCUGAUGCUUUUUAAAUGUAUAAGUCGGGCCGUGUGCUUUGCUUCAGAUGUUUCAGUGUGUGUGUCCGCAGUGCUGCAGCGUUAGAUUGAUGUAUUGCUAAUUACGGGCUGGGGCAUUGUGUUACCUGAUGAAUUACAUGGUUGCUUGACUCCUCUCUCGCUAACGGGCUGUUAACCCCUGUGCCUUUUGCAUGGGAAAGGGGGAGUUGAUGGGAGCAGCAUCCAUCCCUUUUGUGAUUCAGGGCUCAGCCCCUGCCCUGUCCUGGGGACACAUCUGGGGAGGUGUCACAUCUGGUUGGGGGCCUGUAUUUGGUCACCCCGGAGGCAAAGGGCUCUUGGCAGCCUUUUCCUCUGGAUGGAACCUGAGGACAGGCUUGCAGAGCUCUGGAAAUGUCACCACAGCUGGAAAUGUCACAGUAGCUCCCCAUCCCUCUCCGGGGAGCGCACGGCAGUGGGUGCAGGAUC
rnacentral:lncRNA from 1 species